rnacentral:rRNA from 1 species
AGAGAGCGACGGGCGAUGUGUACACACUUCAGAGCCUACUUCAAAAAAGAAUUUUAUUAUUUAUUUACUACUAAAUCCACCUUCAUAAUAAUUAUUACAAUUAUUAAUCCAUAUAAUUUAAAAUUAUUGUAACCCACUACUCCCAUAUUCAUAAGCUGCACCUUGACCUGAAGUCAUAACUAUAAAUUAGUUAGAUUAUAUUCUUAAAAAAUAAUCUGACAACGGCGGUAUACAAACUGAAAACAAAAAUAUGUACAUUAAAACGUGGAUUAUCGAUCCAAGAGCAGGUUCCUCUAGUAAGAAUGAAGUACCGCCAAAUUCUUUAGGUUUAAAAAAUUUUACUACCCUGGCAAUUAAUUCAAUAAGGAAUAAUAGGGUAUCUAAUCCUAGUUUAUAUCCUUAUCUUUAAAGAUAUUACAUUCCAACAUUAUUUUUCAUUAAAAAAAAUAAAAAUUUUACCCCUUAAUUUUUUAACAAAAAAUACAAAUAAGAACUAGUUAUUUACUUAAUUCCACCAAUCUGUUUCAUUUAAAUCUUUCGUAUAACC